rnacentral:lncRNA from 1 species
GAUGACAGUGAUGGUGAAGGGGAAGGAUUGGCCAUUGACCCUAAACUGGGAUGCCGGGUUCAUUUUCCUAGUGACGUCAUACGAGAAACGUAAGUCUGUCCUCGCUCGAAUGAUGUUUGAUAUUACUUAUGAUUGAUGAUGAAGUAACAAUGUACUUAAAUGUUUGUAUUACCCACGUAUUGUUUACAAGAAAAUACUAUUAAUAUUAAUUUGAU